CGGGGAGUGGCUGGCUGUUGGUAUGCCACAACCGCCUGUAAAGCGGUGCCUCGUGCUUCGGGGGUUCGAUUCCCUCCUCCCCGCCCA
rnacentral:tRNA from 1 species